rnacentral:rRNA from 1 species
UACGUAGGGGCCGAGCGUUGUCCGGAGUUACUGGGCGUAAAGCGUGCGCAGGCGGUUUUGUAAGCCAGAUGUGAAAUCCCCGGGCUUAACCUGGGAAUGGCAUUUGGGACUGCAAGGCUCGAGUGCGGCAGAGGAGACUGGAAUUCCUGGUGUAGCAGUGAAAUGCGUAGAUAUCAGGAGGAACACCGAUGGCGAAGGCAGGUCUCUGGGCUGACACUGACGCUCAUGCACGAAAGCGUGGGGAGCAAACAGG